rnacentral:rRNA from 1 species
CACGUAGUUAGCCGUGGCUUUCUCAUAAGGUACCGUCAAUUGAUAGUCAUUUCCUCCUAUCACCUUUCUUCCCUUAUAACAGAAUUUUACAACCCGAAGGCCUUCUUCAUUCACGCGGCGUUGCUCGGUCAGGCUUUCGCCCAUUGCCGAAGAUUCCCUACUGCUGCCUCCCGUAGGAGUCUGGGCCGUGCCUCAGUCCCAGUGUGGCCGUUCACCCUCUCAGGUCGGCUACGCAUCGUCGCCUUGGUAGGCCUUUACCCCACCAACUAGCUAAUGCGCCGCAGGCUCAUCCAUCAGUGAUGCCAGGAGCAUCUUUAAACUUUCGUCCUAUCCGGUAUUAGCGAUCGUUUCCAAUCGUUGUCCCCGUCUGAUGGGCAGAUCACCUACGUGUUACUCACCCGUUCGCCGCUUCCCACCGAAGUGGUUCGCUCGACUUGCAUGUAUUAGGCACGCCGCCAGCGUUCAUCCUGAGCCAGGAUCAAACUCU